CCUUUUUAAAAUUUUCCCACUUGCAAGUGCAUGGUAAAUCGGCAACUUGCUAAGAAAGAAACCAAUUUGCGUUGUCUUCCAUUUGUCUUCCCGCUGAUUCCUCACACUUUUGAGAGAGAAGCCACCAAUUUCCUUUAUCGCAACAGUAAUUUGUGUUGGUUUUGGAAGCUUAGAAGAUAAGGGUAUUUUAGUCCAAAAAUUUAUAUCUGGUUAUGUGAGUUAAAAAAAAAAAAAUUUGCAGUGGAUUUAUUUGUGGAAAUGGAAAAUUAUUUUGGUCAUUACCAGAAAUUUGAUUAAGUUCCACCAUAGAGGUGACAGGUAAGUAGAAAAUGAUAUUCGAAGAAGAAG
rnacentral:lncRNA from 1 species